CGGCGUGCUUAACACAUGCAAGUCGAGCGGGGACAUUGGAGAGCUUGCUCAAAGAUGUUCUAGCGGCGGACGGGUGAGUAACGCGUGAGCAACCUUUCUCUCAGGUGGGGAAUAACACAGGGAAACUUGUACUAAUACCGCAUGAGACCACGGUGUCGCAUGGCACAGGGGUCAAAGAUUAAUCGCUGAGAGGUGGGCUCGCGUCCGAUUAGGUAGUUGGUGAGGUAACGGCCCACCAAGCCGACGAUCGGUAGCCGACCUGAGAGGGUGAUCGGCCACAUUGGGACUGAGACACGGCCCAAACUCCUACGGGAGGCAGCAGGUGGGGAAUAUUGGGCAAUGGGGGAAACCCUGACCCAGCAACGCCGCGUGGAGGAAGAAGGUUUUCGGAUCGUAAACUCCUGUCCUCAGGGAAGAGCAGAAGACGGUACCUGAGGAGGAAGCCCCGGCUAACUACGUG
rnacentral:rRNA from 1 species